ACAACUUUUAACGGUGGAUCUCUUGGCUCGUGCAUCGAUGAAGAACGCAGCG
rnacentral:rRNA from 1 species